rnacentral:rRNA from 1 species
GAUGAACGCUGGCGGCGUGCCUAAUACAUGCAAGUCGAGCGAACGGACGAGAAGCUUGCUUCUCUGAUGUUAGCGGCGGACGGGUGAGUAACACGUGGAUAACCUACCUAUAAGACGGGGAUAACUUCGGGAAACCGUAGCUAAUACCGGAUAAUAUUUUGAAGCGCAUGGUUCAAAAGUGAAAGACGGUCGUGCUGUCACUUAUAGAUGGAUCCUCGCUGCAUUAGCUAGUUGGUAAGGUAACGGCUUACCAAGGCAACGAUGCAUAGCCGACGUGGGAGGGUGAUCGGCCACACUGGAACGGGAACACGGUCAGGACUCCUACGGGAGGCAGCAGUAGGGAAUCUUCCGCAAUGGGGGAAAGCCUGACGGAGCAACGCCGCGUGAGUGAUGAAGGUCUUCGGAUCGUAAAACUCUGUUAUUAGGGAAGAACAUAUGUGUAAGUAAAUGUGCACAUCUUGACGGUACCUAAUCAGAAAGCCACGGCUAACUACGUG